UUGCAAUUAACGUUGAGAUUCGUCGCGCCAAGGCUCGGUUGCUUGAUGAAGUCCCUAAAUUGCAGAGACUGGCACCAAGGUUUUGAAUUACUUCUAGGUACUUUCUCAUGCUCUGGAUCGUACAUUAGGGGCUAGGUAUGAGAUUUAGGGUUGGGUUUGAGAGAUUUGGGGCUGAAUUUGGGCUGGGUAUGAGAAAUAAGAGAUUUAGGGGAAUUGAGAGGGAUCGAGUUGUUUGGGGGGAUUGAGUUGGCUCUGUGUGUGUAAGAUCAUAGAGAAGAGAGAUAGAGGGUUUGAAAUUUCAAUACGAAGGAAUGAGAGAGAGAGCUGGCUAAUGUGUAACUUGAUGUGACAUUUAUGUUUUCUC
rnacentral:lncRNA from 1 species